AUUGAACGCUGGCGGCAGGCCUAACACAUGCAAGUCGAGCGGAUGAAGGGAGCUUGCUCUUGGAUUCAGCGGCGGACGGGUGGGUAAUGCCUAGGAAUCUGCCUUAUAGUUGGGGAUAACGUCACGACACGGGCGCUAAUCCCGCAUCCGACCUGAGGGAGAAAGGGGGGGAUCUUCGGACAACACGCUAUCUGCUGAGCCUAGGUCGGAUUAGCUAGUUGGUGGGGUAAAGGCCUACCAAGGCGACGAUCCGUAACUGGUCUGAGAGGAUGAUCAGUCACACUGGAACUGAGACACGGUCCAGACUCCUACGGGAGGCAGCAGUAGGGAAUAUUCGGCAAUGGGCGAAAGCCUGAUCCAGCCAUGCCGCGUGUGUGAAGAAGGUCUUCGGAUUGUAAAGCACUGUAAGUUGGGAGGAAGAGCAGUAAGUUAAUACCUGGCUGUUUUGACGUUACCUACAGAAUAAGCACCGGCUAACUACGUG
rnacentral:rRNA from 1 species